rnacentral:lncRNA from 1 species
CGGCCGCCCCGUGUGGCCCCGCCGGGUCCGGAGCUGUCCCCCCGCAGGACACCCGCACCCCUGGGACCCACGGCCCGGGGACACCCUGGGGAGCGGGGACGCAGCCGCCGGGGCCAAACCUGGGGAUGUCCCCAGGGCCACCCGCGGUGUCCCCAGCAGGGACAGAGGCAGCCAGGGACGGAGCAGCUGGGAAGGGGGCCGCAGGAGCCCCAGCACCCCGGCGGUGCCACGCUGCCUGUCCCUUGGGUGCCUGUCCCAGAAGGGCGCCUGGGGACAGCCUCGCUGCUCUGUGCGCCCCGAGCCCCAACCCAAUCCCCGCUGGUGGCCACGUCCCCGUGUCCCCACGGCGUGCCGCCGGGCUGGGGGGGCGCGAGGCGGGUGGGUGCCCGGUGACCCCUCGGAUGUCCCUCCCUGUCCUGCCUCGGCAGGGCUCCAGCGGCACCUUGGUCCUCGCUGUCCCACUGCCAUGUCCCCAUCACCCCCAAGUCCCUCCCAGCCCCACACAUUCACCCCGACCCGGCCCCACACGGAGCUCCACGUGGGGCCGUGCGGUGGGAUGUCACCGCUGGUGGCAGCAGGGCCGAGCACGGUGUCCCCAACCCGGCCGUGCCACAGGGGUGCGCGCCCCCCCGCAGAUGGCACCGGAGCGCUGCUGGGGGAGCGGGCGCACACGUGCACGUGGCCACGGCGGUGACAGCGGGGACAAAGCCCUGUGGCAGAGCUCGCUCUGCGCCCCGGGGCUCGGUGGCCCUGCUCUGCCGCUUGUCACCCCGCGUUCGUGCCGAGGACCCGGGGGCUGGGGGGCCGCGAGCCCGCUCGUCAUCGCUUGGCAUCUCGGGCGGCCGCAGCGGCCGGCGACGCGAUGGGAAGUGACAGCCGCCUCCGGCACCGGGGCCCAACUGCAGCGGCGGGGAGCGGGACGAGGACGCGGGGACCGUGGCAGCAGAGCAGCCCCCGGGGUUGCUGCCGGUGACACCCGCCCAAGUGACGCCGCAGCCCCGGGAUGCGCGGGGCUCGGCCGCCUCGGUGGCCUGGGGCGGGUGGCAGCGCAGCGGUGGCAUCAGCCCCGGUGGCACCCACGGGUGGGGGCACCCACGGGAGGCACAGCGGGGUGCGCCCGUG